rnacentral:rRNA from 1 species
GAUAUGGCUCAGGAUGAACGCUGGCGGCGUGCCUAACACAUGCAAGUCGAGCGAGAAACUCACGACAGACACUCGGUGAAGGAAUGAGUGGAAAGCGGCGGACGGGUGAGUAACGCGUAGGCAACCUGCCUCACACAGAGGGAUAGCCAUUGGAAACGAUGAUUAAAACCUCAUAAUGCCAUUUUAUCACAUGAGAAGAUGGCCAAAGAUUUAUCGGUGUGAGAUGGGCCUGCGUCUGAUUAGUUAGUUGGUGAGGUAACGGCUCACCAAGGCAACGAUCAGUAGCCGACCUGAGAGGGUGAUCGGCCACAUUGGAACUGAGACACGGUCCAAACUCCUACGGGAGGCAGCAGUGGGGAAUAUUGCACAAUGGGCGAAAGCCUGAUGCAGCAACGCCGCGUGAAGGAUGAAGGCUUUCGGGUCGUAAACUUCUGUCCUUGGGGAAGGAAAAAAUGACGGUACCCAUGGAGGAAGCCCCGGCUAACUACGUGCCAGCAGCCGC